CUCUCUGUAGUUCGGUUGGUUAGAGCACUGACCGGAAUCGCAGGGACGCAGGUUCAUUCCUGCCAGAGGGG
rnacentral:tRNA from 1 species